GAGACCACAAUCCCGGUAGGGUUCCCUACGGACUCGGUCCGUCCACCAUCUCCCAGGAUAUCUAGUCAGGCUGACCACAUUAUACAAUUACCCAUUUACAUAAUCUAUCAUUCUCUUUUCCCUCAGUCAGCAUCAUCAAUCCACAUACAAACGAGCAAAACAGUAAUUUAUGCCAAACAGACAACAUACAGCAUCAACAUCCCAGUCAUUCAAUCCAUAAUCAAUAAAACAGUACAAUAUGCACACGAAACUAUAAAAUGAAAACAUCAAACCUCAUACUGCAUGUAAAACUGUAAAACAGGCCAAAUAACAGUUAACCGACAAACACAAUAGACUCGGGCUCCAUUAGCGACCUUAAGCAAUUUCACACAUUCGUUGAUUCAUGAAAUACCGU
rnacentral:lncRNA from 1 species